GAAAACUUCACCCUUCAUAAUUCAUAUCCACUCAACGCAUAUCUUCUUCAUCUUCUUUCUUUCUUUAAUUUCUCUCUUGCAAGUUACAGCUAAGUUUUCUUUUUCUUAGAUGUCUUCUUGCUCUCUCACUCUCUUUCUUCACCCUCCUCUUCCUCCUCCUCCUCCUCCUCCUCCUCCUCCUCUUUCACUUCCAUUUGCCCCCAAAAAACCCCACCAAUGUUACUCUCUCUCUCCACUUUCCCGCACUUUCAAAUCCUUCAAAUCUCCCCGCAUCAUCUGCUUCUCUUCAAAUUCUUCCUCUUCCCAAAACGACCGCGAGGAGUCCCGCUGGCUCCGCGAAGAGCAGCGAUGGCUCCGCGAGGAGCAGCGCUGGCUCCGUGAAGAACAGCGCUGGGCCCGUGACCGCGACUCGCUCCUGCUAGAAAUCGCCGAGCUCAAGCUCAAAAUUCAGGCCCUAGAGCAUCGCCAGGAAGGAGGAGGGGCUUCAGUGUCGGAGUCCGAGACCAUCGCCAACAUCUCCGGCUUGUUGCAGAUUUUGACGGAGAAAAAUCAGAUAGCUGAGACAGCGUCGAGUUCCAGAGCCAUAGAAUUGGACCAUAUUCAGGAGGAGAUUGAGGAGGUGUCUGCCGUUCCGGAAGUGAAGGAGAAGAAGAAGAGCAGAAAUGCUUUGAGGAAGGGGUCGGAAGGUGAAGAGGUCCGAGCUAUGCAGGAAGCAUUGCAAAAACUAGGAUUUUACUCGGGUGAGGAAGACAUGGAGUUUUCCAGCUUCUCAAGCGGCACCGAACGUGCUGUCAAGACUUGGCAAGCCUCCUUAGACGCCCCUCAAGAUGGCAUAGUGACUGCAGAACUUCUUGAACAAUUAUAUACGGUGGCACAAAUUGAGGGUCUGGAUAACAGAGGGAGUACUCUGACUGCUACACAAAAGGAAGAUACAAAUGGAGCUGCAGUUACUUCUGUAACAGAAAUUUCAGAGGUCCAGCAAACAUUUGUGAAAGAAGGUGUUACAGAAGUAGAGGUAUCUGAGCAUCGUGUUUUUCUCCUAGGAGAGAACCGCUGGGAAGAUUCUUCUAGACUUAGCAGGAACCGAAAAAAUAGGAGGUGAAAGCAAGACAAUGAAUACCACAAGAAGGUGUCUUACUUGUCGAGGGGAGGGUCGCUUAUUGUGCACAGAAUGUGAUGGAACAGGCGAGCCAAACAUUGAAGAACAGUUCUUGGAUUGGGUGGAAGAGGGAGCAAAAUGUCCAUAUUGUGAAGGUCAUGGGUUUACAAUUUGCGACGUAUGUGAAGGGGCAACAGUAGUUUAGGUAUGAAAAUAUCUUCCCAUAAAGACAUGUGCAGUUUUAUGCUUUAGUACAUGUGUGUGUUUAAUGGUAGUUUGCAUUUAUAAACAAAUGCAGAAAAUCAUAUGUAUAUCUACUGUUUAUUAUACAAGUCAACGGGGUCUAGCUCAGUGGAAAAGGGCAAUGCCUUGCAAACCAGAAGUCUCAUGUUCGAACCA